rnacentral:lncRNA from 1 species
CAACAAGAGCAAAGGAGUUCCAAUAAUUCUUAAGGUAUGACAUUGGGUGCUUUUCACAAGAGAAACCUUCAAAGUAAUUCUUAAGAAGAAAGAAGUUUCAACUCCUGUGUAGGGUAAACGUGUGGAACACCUAAAAUCUGUUACUAAAGCAUUUGGAAUGAGUGUUCCUCCCACAAUUUACAAAAAUGUGAAGCAGGCAGGCUCCUGAAGCAGGCGUGAAGGUCAACUAAUAAAGGAGUUGGAAGAAAUACUGCGCAGGGAAGGAUUAUCUUCAAAUCCCUCUGAAAAGGAAAUCAAGGAAGUGCGAAGGAAGCAGGACAGAGCAAAAGAACUUGAGGGUAUUAUAUGAGCAAUAUAGUGUCAAGUUCACGUAGAAGGUCAACAACUAGCUUUGUAGCUCCUCCACCUCGGAAGCCAAAGACCCUAGAAAUGGUGCUAAAGAUAGUGAGAAUGAUGGCAAAGAUGAUGAAGAAGAUAGUAGUGACGACGAGGGAAGCCAGAGUGAAGAAUUAAAUGAAGAUGGCACAGAUUUAGUGGUAGGAACAUGAGGACCACUAACACUCGUGUCUGCUUCAUAGACCUCAAUGUCACUGUCCUCAACAAGUUCAGUGUUUUCAAUAGAAUAAAUGGGGUGCUUGAAGUAUAUGUGCAUUUGAUAUACGUUCAGUUUAUGUCCCGCAUCAUAAACUUUGUUGCCUACCCUCAACAAUGUUGUCACCAUACGAUUGAUGUCUCGGUCAGUGACAAGUGGGUUAAGGGCAGUUUCUAAAUAAUUAUCCUUAGGGUGCUUCCACAUCAUACUUUCGUACUCAUAAUAGCCAUGGUCUUUGAACAAUGUGUUCAUGUCCUUCAAGUUCACGAAGUCAACGUCUACUGGUGGAAAUUUUCGAACACCAUAAUUUAUGUACUCGAAAUUGUUGUGUUCAUCCCUGACAAAGUCACCACCAUGAUGAUACAAUAGGACAACAUGUUCUGCCAUUUGCAAUAAACAAUUAGUGCAAAAUUAGCACAACAUUACCAUUUAAUGUACAAAAUUACCACAAAAUUGCCUUGGACCCCACACAAUAAACAAUUAGUCCAGUAAGAGAUCACAUGAUCUACCAAUUAGUGCAGAAUGCAAUAAACAAUUACUAAAUGUAGUACACAAUGGACCACCACAAUAAAGUGCAGUAAACACAAGGCGAAACGCAUUAGGAAAUAUUAAAUUGCAUUCACAUGGACCCCCAUAUUCCACACAAGACAACAAUGGACCCCCACAGUGAAUACAAUGCAAUAAACAAUGGACCCCCCCCCAAUGAAACGCAUUAAACAACGAAUACAUGAGUAAUAAACAACAGACAAAUGCAAAAAAAUGCAAUUUCGAAACAAAUGACAAUGUGAAUC